GACGAACGCUGGCGGCGUGGAUUAGGCAUGCAAGUCGAACGGUAUCAUCCUUCGGGGGUGAGAGAGUGGCGAACUGGUGAGUAACACGUAGGUUAUCUACCUCAAGACGGGGACAACCCAGGGAAACUUGGGCUAAUACCGGAUGUGAGCAACUUUUAGUUGUUUGAAAGGUGGCGUAAGCUGUCGCUUGGGGAUGAGCCUGCGUCCUAUUAGUUAGUUGGUGAGGUAACGGCUCACCUAGGCAAUGAUAGGUAGGCGGCCUUAACGGGUGGUCGCCCACACUGGGAUUGAGAUACGGCCCAGACUCCUACGGGAGGCAGCAGUCGAGAAUAGUCUACAAUGGUCGGAAGACUGAUAGUGCGACGCCGCGUGAACGAUGAAUCCCUUCGGGGUGUAAAGUUCUUUUAUAUGUGAGCAGUGCUUCUUAUAUUAACAGUAUGGGGAGAGAGAUAUUAGCAUAUGAAUAAGCAACGGCUAACUCCGUG
rnacentral:rRNA from 1 species